AGCGCUUACAGUUUACUAGGGCAGCUCUAGCAGGGCAGAAAUGUGAUGAACUGACUUUGUUGGAAACGUGGCAUCCAAUGAUGGUGCCACAUUGAAAGUCACUGAGCUCUUCAGUAAGGCCAUUCUACUGCCAAUGUUUGUCUAUGGAGAUUGCAAGGCUGUGUGCUCGAUUUUAUAGACCUGUCAGCAGCGGGUGAAAGAGCCAAUUCGAUUGAUUUCAAGGGGUUUCCACAUACUUUUUCAUAUAUAUAUAGUGUACCUGUUUCCAUCACAGCUGUCGUGGUUUUGUUUUACUGGCAAUAAACUGGAUGGAAAGUGGUUAGUGAUGGCAUAAUGUAUAGCCUGGCAGCCAUUUUGAGUGUCCCCAUGUCAGGAAGUAAAAACAGGAAGUGGUACCCUUCAAUCUGUGUUGUGACUGACAUUACACAAAUUCCAUUCCAUUGCAUGAGCCACAUUAGUUAGCAUCGUUCUACUUUACCAUGGCAAUCCAGCAUCAGUUGAUAGAACAUUCCAAAAUACUAUAGAAAUGAUUGCCUCAAAAUACCAGGAAGCCGGUGUGAGUGUACCCUUGAGUUUACCAGUCAAAUUGCUCACACACAUACACACACACACACACACACACACACACACACACACACACACACACACACUGAAUGAGUAAUACUCGUGUUUGGCGAUAAAUGGUGUCAAUGCCGAUUGCUAUGGUUUAUGGUGUCAGUUCAGAUUCUGGCCUAUGAAUUGCAUUUUAUAUGAUUACAGUAUUGAAUAUAGCAGGUUUCGCUGUAUAGAUUCAAUGUUUAGUGUUUGUUGUGGAUUUACAAUGCCUCAUCAGUAUUACAUAAAACAUGAAUAACCUGCCAGUUUUCAUAAUGGAUCGAUGUAAAUGACUGUGUACUGUAGGACUUUGUGUCAGCAUAGCCUUUCCUUUAAAUUUCUCUAGCCCACUGGAGUUGAUUGGCCAGUCGGGGUUGUGUAACCCGUCCAAUCAGUUAAUUGAAUCACCUCGUCCUAUUACCAGUCUGCCAACGCCAACCAUGUUCCAUCCAGCAAAGUCAUUACGAACCUUUUAUGAAGUUCCCUCAAAACGACAACAUC
rnacentral:lncRNA from 13 species